AGCGAACGCUGGCGGCAGGCCUAACACAUGCAAGUCGAACGAACCCUUCGGGGUUAGUGGCGGACGGGUGAGUAACACGUGGGAACGUGCCUUUAGGUUCGGAAUAACUCAGGGAAACUUGUGCUAAUACCGAAUGUGCCCUUCGGGGGAAAGAUUUAUCGCCUUUAGAGCGGCCCGCGUCUGAUUAGCUAGUUGGUGAGGUAAUGGCUCACCAAGGCUACGAUCAGUAGCUGGUCUGAGAGGAUGACCAGCCACAUUGGGACUGAGACACGGCCCAAACGCCUACGGGAGGCAGCAGUGGGGAAUUUUGCGCAAUGGGCGAAAGCCUGACGCAGCCAUGCCGCGUGGAUGAUGAAGGUCUUAGGAUUGUAAAAUCCUUUCACCGGUGAAGAUAAUGACUGUAGCCGGAGAAGAAGCCCCGGCUAACUUCGUGCCAGCCGCCGCGGUAAUAC
rnacentral:rRNA from 1 species